GGACCCGCACAAGUAGUGGAGCAUGUGGUUUAAUUCGAAGAUACGCGCAGAACCUUACCAACACUUGACAUGUUCGUCGCGACUUUAAGAGAUUAAAGUUUUCGGUUCGGCCGGACGAAACACAGGUGCUGCAUGGCUGUCGUCAGCUCGUGUCGUGAGAUGUUGGGUUAAGUCCCGCAACGAGCGCAACCCUCACUUUUAGUUGCCAUCAUUAAGUUGGGCACUUUAAAAGAACUGCCAGUGAUAAGCUGGAGGAAGGUGGGGAUGACGUCAAGUCCUCAUGGCCCUUAUGUGUUGGGCUACACACGUGCUACAAUGGUACUUACAAUGGGAAGCAAAGAUGCAAGUCCUAGCCAA
rnacentral:rRNA from 1 species